rnacentral:lncRNA from 1 species
AUGCUUCGGUGGGCGGGCCCUGCCAGCUUAGAGGCUCGGAGACCGGCUGCGACGGACAGCGACUUUCAUUGGUCAGACGGGCUGUCAAUCCGACCUUCUUCACUGUAUGAUUAUCAGCAAGCAGCUGCAUCUGAGUCCCAUCUGCCAGACUUGGUGUUGCUGUUCGUGCUGUGGGAUCGCCCUCACGGCAGAGCGCAGACCCCGGGCUGGCUGGAGUGUGGGAGACCCUUUGCAGGCCAGGUUUUAAUUACGGCCGCAGGACUAGACGAAAAAAAUGCUGACGACAGGAGCAGUCAGAUGAGCUGUCGGAGCAAUCUGGCAUGGGCCACGCUGAGCCCGAGACUUCUCCGUCGGCUUGCAGAGGCUGCCCAUCUGAACCGAUUAAGAGACACCACAUGAAAUGUUGUUUUUAUCCUCUUUGAACUGCACCAUGUGUUUCCUGUGCUCUUGAGAUGCAGAGGCUCAGCGGAUCUCAGGCUCUGUAAUCAGGCUUGUGCAACAGGAAGAGCACCAUUCUGCUUCCUUGAGCUGCGCGGGCUGUAUGGUGUGUGUGGUUCUCAGGACCACGGGACUGAGCAGAAACUGAUCAAAUUGGUGUUUAGGAGCCUCUUGGAUUUUCGCCUUAGAGAUCAUGACUUCAGAGACAGAAAAGGCCUGAUUUUGGUUCCAGUUAAUGUGGUGAAGCUGUUAUAAAAGGAUACCAAUCUCAUCUCAUCAUGUCAAACUGACAAUCACAAAACUUUAUUGCAGGGCCUAUCGCCUUCAGUGCUUAGCACUGAGUAUGAAACAGGACUGUAUACAGUAUGAGCUAGGUCUUCAAAUUAAUCAGCAUCUCGGAUUACCCCUACAGCACAAAGAGUAUAAAGAACUGCUUAUGAUACACUAUUGAAGAUUUCUUUUCAAUCAAGGAUAGCCGAUGAAAAAUAACUAUAUAAAAUAUUUUUUAAAACGACAAAAAAGUUUUAAAGGUCUAGAGGGAGUUUUGCGUAUAUUUUUACAAUUACAACCCAAUUGUACAUGGCUUGGCUUUGUGGCUGCGAUUGCUGUACCACCUUACCUACAGUAGGAGAGAAUGGGACAUGCAGACACCCUCUUCUGAGAAGCUCUACAACUUGUUACAAGUGGUGCUUCUCUCUGCAAGCCUGCAGGUGCCCAGCAGGUGUCGCUGUUUUUAGGGAUGCUAGUACACCACUGGCAGACAUUAACUUUGCUGUGUCGGUCAAGCUCCUGCAGGGGAGGGCACCCAGGUGACAGCUGGCCGAUGACAUGGUUGGUACAGCAAUAGCAAAGGUGCUGCAUUUUUACUGUAGUACAUAGUGUCUGCUACUACAAUCAAUACGUUAUUUUUAGAUUCUAAAUAAGGCAGAUGACUAAUACACAUUUCAAAUAUUUUCAAUCAAACAAGUAAUACAAGCUGUAAGGGGGAGGAGAGGGCAGCCACAUUUCUCCAGAAAAGAGAAAUGGCACAUGCUUAAAAGUCAGACCUGCCAGAGAAUGCUGCUGCCAGACAACCCUAAGACACCCCCACGUGGUAAUUCUACCAAAACCCUGCUCCUUCACUUUGAUUCUUCCUUCUCCUGCACACACAACAGAAAGUGAGCACAAGCAUGCAAGCUUACAUGUGAGAUUGCCACUGACCUAUUGAAGAGAUUCACCGGCCAAUUAAAGUUAAGACCGAUCCACUUACAUCAACCCGGUGACGUUCAUAAGAAAAGGCUUAGUGUUUUUCGUUUUCUAGGGAGCCACUUGGUAAGAGGGAGGAGAAGACAGAGCCACCAUCUUUGCAUUAAGACUACAUUCUAAUGACCAAGGCAAAAGGAAAAUGAAAAAAUGGUAUUGUAUCCCAAGAACAGUAUAGAACUGCAGUGUCUGGAAUCUUCACCCUGCAAUGCUGAGUGCCAGCUCCCACUUUUCCCAAAUAAUGCCCAUGCAAGUGCUCACUCAGUUAAGAGCUCUUUUCACCACGCCAAAGUGGUCCUGAGAGGAGGGCUCUCCAGUCCCUCCUGGCUCUGUCUCUAUAAUGUGUCAAGGGUUUUCAUGCCCACCAGUCAUCUGUGAAAAACAAGAAUAUUUUUCUAGGCAACAAAUGAGCAUAGGAUUCCCCCCCCCGUUUUCUGAUCAGUUCUGAGGUUAAAUAAAUAGGAUGAAGCAGUGAAAACGUCUCCAGUUUCUGUCACGCUGAGCUGCUUUAAAACACAUUUCAAAUGCCAAUUGAGCCUCAUGUGUUAAGAAAGACGUGAAGGGAAUUUUAAUGUCAUGUUAGCGGCCUGCAACAAAUUCCUGUUGCCAAAGGGAAAAGAACGGGGUAUCAAGCAUGGCACAAAGAGGUACAUAACAGGCUUCGUGCUGCUACAAGAGAGCUUCUGUAGGAGCAGAAAAUGUACAGAGAGGCAGCUGAAGAUCAGUGGACACAAUACAGGUCAAUAACUUUAAAAUUAGCACUUUAAAAACAGCCCAAUCAGGGUAAAAUAUUAGGUAUUAGAUAUACCUUUGCAGAGUUGUCUAUUUCAAUAAUACCAGCCAGACUGAUAGCAGGCAGCUAAAAAAACACUAAUAACAAAAUAAUAAUAAACAGCCUUCCAAAAUGCAUUGAAAAACUUUGUGAUUUCUUUAUGGUAGUUUCCUGGUGCAUAUACAAGACAACACAGUUCCACGGGAAAUUAUAGAGGAAAUGUAUGAAAUUGCCGAACUACACACAAAUUUUAAAAAGUACGAUCUAAAAACGCUGAAAGGCCUUUGAAGUAAGUCUUACAUUAAAGAAAUGCCAGUCUCUUGCAAGGAUCUGCUAGUUUUUGGAAACAAAUACUAAUACAACUAUUAGGUUCAAGUUAAAGCAGCUAAUUAUAUAAGAAAAAGCAUUAACUUCUGAAUAGGUUACACAUUUCAGAUCUCUCACACUGAGUGCCACAGACAGGCAUGUUGUGUUAAAAGCUAUUAGGCAGCUCCUGACCAAGUAAGCCGGUACAUCAGAAUAAAGACAAAAGGAACUUCAGCUAUGUACCAGUGAUCCUGCCAAAAACAACAGGCACUAACGGCUGCUGUUGAAAGAGCGAAAUACCAGAGCUCUAUAUUUAACCAAAGAGUUAUUAGUCUAAUCCCAAAGGGGUUUAAAGUAAGUCUGCAACGAUGCUGACCUAAAAUGUAUAAAACAGGGAGAUACAAAUUUGUGAACUGGUUUGUCGCAUGUUGAGUUGCUGAGGGCUGCAAGUCAAAAGAGCCUCUCUUUCCUUCGUCUAACUCACUGUGCGUCAUUACCCUCAGCUUUCCUUUCACAGAGUGCAAAACAAAAGUAAUUAAAAAAUUCUGUCCAAAUGAACUGUACUGCCUACAAACUAGACAACUCUUAAUAAGAAAUGAGUGUGUUUGCAUUUCAUUGUACUUGUGGCCCAAGUAAUUUUAUUUUUUUCUAUAAAAUAAUUGUAAAACUCUGUACACGGGAAAAAGUAUUUAGGCCUAAUUUACAUAAGACUUUCAUGUUAUCGAGGGAUGAGGCAUGCAUGAUUAAGGACCACAUUCAUCAACCACAAUAAGUUUUGUCUUAAAGUAUGAGAUGUGUGCUAACACACAUGCCUUAAAAUAAGAUGGCAUUUCAUUAGCAUCCAACAAAUAUGCAGAAUGCAUCAUAAUGUAUGCGAACUUUGAGGUAAGAUAGCACUUAUGCUGGAGCUUAUAUGUUUAUGGAUCAUAUAUACCAUUUAAAGGGGAUCUGCAACAUUAUUUUUAUAUUUUGGGGUUAGAAAAAAUCGGCAUUGAUGAGUGCAUUUCAAACCACACUAAAAGCAAAAUAUACGCAUUAACUUGGAAAACCUCCGAUUUACAUCACAAAAUAGAAGACAUUUACUGCUAUGACAGCACCAUAUUUUGCGAUUCAGAAUGAGGAAACAGAACUUCUGGUUAGGUGAAGCAGCCCUAUUACUGUGCAUUGUAAACAUGCUGGUUUGUGCAUACAUCUCUAUUAGUCUAAUAAAAAUAUUGUUCUUGACUCCCAGAUAAUUUUGUACUUUUAUCUUUAACUGCAAGCAGAUCAUGUUGG